GUGAGAACCAUGCUCUAUGUAGCCGCAGAGUACAUACAGCAUGGGCAGUAGCGGAGCAAGCUUCCCUGCUCUGCCCCGCCAAUCUGACUCAGUACUGACUUGGAAAGGCCACUCCUAGGGAUCCAUGUCUAUUCAGCUCUUGACCACU
rnacentral:sRNA from 1 species